rnacentral:lncRNA from 1 species
ACAUCUUAUCAUGAGUUACAGAAUGUUCGUCGACGGCGAGUAUUCAGAACAGCUGAUUACUAGCUAACUGAUAAGGAAUAAGAAUUGAUUGUGCAUCUCUUUUAAUUUCAGUGCCGGCUGUGCCGCCAGUGCGUGAUAUUGAUCCAUGAUUUAUGGAGCAUUUUAUUACAAAAAAGUUCUUGCGGGUGUCUGCGGUGGGUCUGCUGCUGCUUCUCCUUUACAUUGCCUUUGUCAUCAUCUCCAACUCAUCUUUUUAUGAUCAAAGAUUGGAGUACUCAUUGCGAGUGGAUGGGUCGCUCCGUCACUCGUACGUGUCGCACCGCAGCAUCAACCUUACGGGAUACAAGACCAUCCUGCUCUGGAACACGG